UAUAUUUUUAAUUGUGCUAAAUAUUUGGAUAAACUUAAAUAAAAAAAAGUACUAUACAUUUUAACGCUUUAAAUCCGAGAGUGACUUUCUCGAGCGGAGACGAUGACAGGUCAGGUUUAUUUUCAUCUUUCGAAGAAAACAAAGUUCAGUUCCAUAACAAUGACAUUUAAUGGGAAAGCAAAGGUACAGUGGACAACACAAAGACGACCCGAGUCCACUCGGCAAAGCUGGAAUUCUUCAACGUCUCAAGUCGUAUUGCAAGAAAAUAACGAACCCAUGUGUACCCGUUCACAUGCCAAAUUCCACAAGGGAACUUCCCCUCUUCUUUCCAUGGGGCGCAUGGCAGUAUAAUCUACUCCAUGAAGGUGGAGAUACACAGGCCCUGGCAUCUAACCAAGGCGUUUGAGACAGAGUUCAACUUUGCCACCUACAUAGACACCAACCAACCACAUCUUCUGGCUCCUUUGGCAGGCAGCAACACUAAGACCCUGUGCUGCCUCUGGUGUGCCUCAGGGUCCAUCUCAAUGACCGUCCACACUGAGAGGAAUGGCUUUGUCCCCGAUGGUGAAAAUAAUCUGAGUUUAAUAAUGGCUCAUCUCAGACGGUGACUCCACAUGCCACCCGCAUCCAGAAGCAGAUGAUUUACACCCACAACAAGUGCAACAGGAUGAUGCAGAGGGAAAAACCUGGUCUCAGUGAAUGGUCAGCCGGUCAACCCCAGUAGCUCUGAGGUCUAAAGCAAUAUGAUGCUUCCCAUCCCUCCCAAAACUGCUCUCACAAUCUCCAACUGUCCUAUACUGGAGUUGGAUUACACUGUGGAUGUGUGUCUACGUGUCAGAGUUUCCUCUGACCUAAAGGUGCUGUUCCCCAUCGUGCUGUGUAAUGUUCAUGCUUCCCAACCUCCCCCUCCAUAUCAGUAGGAGUAGCAGUUGGAUCCUAUUAGAGAUUGCAUAGCCUCUCACAACUUCCCGUAACCAAAGUUAUGUCUGUCAGGAACAUAGGGGAUAUGAGGGUUACUAGGAACAAUUCUUCCGGUGCGCUUGUUUUUUCUUCACUGAUUAUUUGAACAAAUCACAGGGUUCAUUUGGCCCAUAGACCAGUUAAGAGGAUUUCAGAGGAGCGGGUGUGGACUUUGCCACUCCUAUUAAGCCAAACAUCUUAACACUCCCCAGUACAAAAUCCAGUAGCUGGCCGGAGACCAGCUUUCACGCAAGAUUUUGUUCCGAGAUUAGACACUGCCAAAAACCUUUUUAAAAUGGGGUUUCCAAUUCUAUAAUUUUAUAUGUUGUUGAUCGUUAGAAUUGUCAUCAACUGGCAUGUCAAAACUUCCUUCCAUAUGACAUUGCCUGAUUGCAUUGCCUCUUUCCACUGUGGGAGUCGAGUGCAAAAUGCUCACUAUAGACAUUACUGCUUAGAAAAUGAAGUGCUCAGAAUUCAUGACUUUUUAAAACUUACAUUUCAGCCCCUUUUCCGUUUCUUAUUCAGCUCCUUCGGGGUCAUGAGAUGAGAAACUAGUGGGACACUGUUAGGGGGCUAACUCCGACUACAGCUGAUAAGGACUCAACUUGCUCUAACAAGUCUUACAACACAACAAAUUGUAGGAUUUAUGUGAAAAGCCUCUUAAUAAGGUUGAUUUGUGAGUUGCAGAAAUAGUUCUCAUGUUUUUACUUCAUAUGGUAUCAGAUUCUUUUUUUAUAUUUUAUGCUUGAACUUUUAAAAGGUGUUUCUGUUACAUGACUAUUUCUGUUACAUUUUAAAACACAUAGUUUAUUUACAGUUGUAUAUAUACAUUUCUUAUUACUUACAUACCAAUGUAUAUGUAUGCAAUGGUGCCUUGCCAUCCUUCAAUGCUUAACACUAGAACCGUUAGGCCUUGACGGGUGCAACUUGUUCGCCAAUGAGACUGUAGUAAAGAAAUUGUCUAUGGUGAUAUUUUGCCAGCAGCAUACCACCCUGCAUCCCACUACUGGCUUGCUUCUGAAGCUAAGCAGGGUUGGUCCUGGU